CGUGGAGGAGUUCGGGAUAGC
rnacentral:miRNA from 1 species